rnacentral:rRNA from 1 species
AGCAUAUCAAUAANCCGGGAGGAAA